rnacentral:rRNA from 1 species
GCUCUUGGGUCGUAAACCUCUUUUCUCAGGGAAGAAAAAAAUGACGGUACCUGAGGAAUAAGCAUCGGCUAACUCCGUGCCAGCAGCCGCGGUAAUACGGAGGAUGCAAGCGUUAUCCGGAAUGAUUGGGCGUAAAGCGUCCGCAGGUGGCGAUGUAAGUCUGCUGUUAAAGAGUCUAGCUCAACUAGAUAAAAGCAGUGGAAACUACAUAGCUAGAGUACGUUCGGGGCAGAGGGAAUUCCUGGUGUAGCGGUGAAAUGCGUAGAGAUCAGGAAGAACACCAGUGGCGAAGGCGCUCUGCUAGGCCGUAACUGACACUGAGGGACGAAAGCUAGGGGAGCGAAUGGGAUUAGAUACCCCAGUAGUCCUAGCCGUAAACGAUGGAUACUAGGCGUGGCUUGUAUCGACCCGAGCCGUGCCGUAGCUAACGCGUUAAGUAUCCCGCCUGGGGAGUACGCCGGCAACGGUGAAACUCAAAGGAAUUGACGGGGGCCCGCACAAGCGGUGGAGUAUGUGGUUUAAUUCGAUGCAACGCGAAGAACCUUACCAAGGCUUGACAUGUCGCGAAUCUGAGUGAAAGCUUAGAGUGCCUUCKGGAGCGCGAACACAGGUGGUGCAUGGCUGUCGUCAGCUYGUGUCGUGAGAUGUUGGGUUAAGUCCCGCAACGAGCGCAACCCUCGUUUUUAGUUGCCAGCAUUAAGUUGGGCACUCUAGAGAGACUGCCGGUGACAAACCGGAGGAAGGUGGGGAUGACGUCAAGUCAGCAUGCCCCUUACGCCUUGGGCUACACACGUACUACAAUGCUCCGGACAGAGGGCAGCAAGCAUGCGAAUGCAAGCAAAUCCCGGAAACCGGAGCUCAGUUCAGAUCGCAGGCUGCAACUCGCCUGCGUGAAGGAGGAAUCGCUAGUAAUUGCAGGUCAGCAUACUGCAGUGAAUUCGUUCCCGGGCCUUGUACACACCGCCCGUCACACCAUGGAAGCUGGUAGUGCCCGAAGUCAU